GAAUAUAAAAGCAUGUAGAAGCAGAGGAGAAGGCAGGUGACACAAGCACAGAAGCUGUGGUAGCAGUGGUGGCGUGGUGCAUCUCUUCUGCUUCAGGACUUCCAUGUGAGGACAAUACAUAAAGAUGGCUGCCUAAUGAAACCAAGAACUGGCCUGGAUAAUACGAAACCAACACGUCAGAUGAGAAAAGAAGCUGCCAUCCAACCGAGAGGCUACCAACCUUCUGAUAAAUGGAUGCUUCUUGAAGUGUCAGCUUUCCCAUGACACGCCCUGUAGAGAUUUGUAAUGAGUGAAGCUGAAAACACGAACCCAUGUUUUCCCUGCUGACAUUUUAAUAUUUCACUGGUGCAUCAGCAGAACAGAUGAGGUGAUGUCUGAUGCCUGCGCACCAAGGUCGAUGARCCUUGGGUCGAUACUGCACAGAGGCAGCCUGCUCGGGGCACGCGGCCACUGGCCCAGGUAAACGUCUCUCUGUUACACAGGCAGGAGCUCUUCCCACUGCGUGUGGCAGAGAUGCUUGUGCACACUAGGACUACUCAUGAGUAAAGGCUGGAGAAAAGACCACAGAAGAAGUGAUUAUGGGAAUAAAAGGAGUAAAWACAUGCA
rnacentral:lncRNA from 1 species